UCUAAUUUCACAUCACUCGAGAGGAGAUCUCGCUACUUCACUCGAGAAUGCACUUUUGUCACAAAAAAAUGAACAAUUACGUCACAAUCCAUGCAAAAUAACUCAUUCUCGUUUGUUGUUGAUUGUUGUGGUAGUGACUAAUUGUCAGUAGUAAAUAAUAGUUCAAAGUAACACUCGUUUGUCGUCGUCGUUGUUAUCAGAUCCGAACGACGAUGAAGUUGUAUUAGUUUUUUUUGCGUUCAUUCGUGUGCAGUGCAAUGCAAAUUCUUAAGGCAAAGUUUGUUUGUUUGUGUUUUUUUUACAUAACACUCGUCGGAGUCGUCGUAAAAUUAAUGCGAAGGAGCGCGAAAUCCGGUGAAAAAUGUCUUUUGGAGCCUUUUAGAUGGAAAUUGACGUGCCAAAGACAUCACGUGCAACAUUGACUGUUACAGGGAUUCAUCACGUUUAUCCUUUUUCCGACUAAAACAGAAUUUUUGCAGAGGCGGAAACGAUUUUUUCUUCGUAGGAGUUAAAAAUCGAAGAAAAAGUCUUUCAAAUCAACAAAAAAGUCAAAGUCCUCUGAAAGUUUUUAUGGAUUCCUUCACUUUUCAUCACAAAACGAGCGUUUCUUAAGAAUUUCUUGCUCGACAUCUGGUUAUGACAGCUUGCACGCACUAAAAAAACAACGCGCAAGUAUUUUUCAUCGAAUUUUUCGUUAAAAUCUUAAGAAAUAUUUUUAAAUUUUACAUUUCCCUCAUUAUUUUCGUAGAUUUUCAUCAAAUCUCACACUGAUAACGCAAAAUAAACAAAGAUCAUCGAAAUUUUUGCGCGUAAAUUGAGUGAAGUUCAUUCAUUUCGUGCCAUUAUCAACUUAUUUAUCGACAAAAACCCAAACAACGCGCGUUCCUUCGGGUUUUUUCGGCACACACGAGAGCAACGGAGCGAAUUUUCCGCAGUUUUUGUCAACGGAGAGACGAUCAAAUGUCAUUGAAAAGAUUCAACUUCCAAUUAAUCGACGGUGCACCGAACGCGACAUGCAUCACCGACAACGCGCAAAUGGAAACUAAUUCGUUGUGUUGCAAUUGUUUGUGUAUAUUGGCGUUCGGUACAUCCAUGAAAUGUAAUGGAAAUGUGAAUCCAUAGAAGGGCAGUAUUAUCGUAUGCGCGCAGAUAUCGGUAAGGGUGGCCUUGGUUGUUGUGAGAGAAUGAGAGAUUUUUAAGUACAAAGGGGACAGCCUUUUGCAGAGAUGGAUUACGGGAAAAUUGAUUAAAAAGUGCAAAUUU